UACGGAGGAUCCAAGCGUUAUCCGGAUUUAUUGGGUUUAAAGGGUGCGUAGGCGGUCUGUUAAGUUAGAGGUGAAAUCCCGGGGCUCAACCCUGGAACUGCCUCUGAUACUGGCAGGCUAGAGUAUAGUUGCUGUGGGCGGAAUGUAUGGUGUAGCGGUGAAAUGCUUAGAGAUCAUACAGAACACCGAUUGCGAAGGCAGCUCACAAAGCUAUUACUGACGCUGAGGCACGAAAGCGUGGGGAGCAAACAGG
rnacentral:rRNA from 1 species